GAUGGUGAUAAUGAAGGUGCAGCUCUUCCUGUAAACCCGUCUCCUGGUUUCCAUCGACUGCGUCCUCCAGAAACUCUGACUCUGAUCGGUGACUUGGCAGAAAUGAUAAUCUCUUCCCCCACAAUGCACUGCAGUGGCGUUACUGAGCGCGCUCCAAACGACUGGAGAACAGCGAGGAGAAAUGAGGUCACACUCACUCAGAGAGCCUCGUGGGCAUCGGACCAGAACUAAUUCUGUCUUAUCUGCUGCUAUAAAAAGAUCAAAGCAGUGAAGCAGCCGAGAACCGCAGACUGAAGCUCUGCAGCAGGAACCAGCAGGAACUGGCACCAAUACAAGAACCAGCACCAAUACUGGAACCAGCUUAGAACCAGGGCGGCACAGCUGCAGGAUCUGAGGAACCGGCAUCGUCAGAAUGACGGCGUCAAACGUCUCUCUGCCUCCCGCCUUUUUCUCCACCUCCCAUGAUGCACCACAGUGGUACAGGCCGGUCACAUGAUGCUCGAAGAACAAAUCAGCUCCUGACAAACAAACGGAAUCAAAGUUUAAAUUUAAAGAAAAGUUUAAAACAAACCUAAGGAAUAAAGUUUAAAACGACAUUUGUUGGGUUCUCCAUCUAAUGGUAAACUACUUCCUGUCUGGGAGAGGUUUGGUUCAUGGAUCACAGAAGAAGAAACAAAGCAAGCGUCCCCCUGCUGAGAAACAGCAAAGAUCAGAGCCUCUACAGGUGUGACUGGUCAGACAGGUGAGGGAGGUCAGGUGGUCCACAGGUGAGAACAGACACCUGGAACUCCACAACAGGAAGCAGAACUGAGGAACGUCUGAGAUGAAACAUCUUCAAGAACCAAAAACAAGUUCAGCUGAUGCUACUGGAGCUAACAGAGUCAGGCCAGGAAGUGUUCACCUGACUCAGACAGGAAGUGUUUGACCACACUGCCCAUGCCCAGCGGCGCCAUGUAGUUCUUGCUGUCGUCUUUCUGCCGCAGACCUUCGAUCUGACAGCUGAGCGGCUGCAGGACUCCGGCUGACAGCAGCUCUGAGUAGAAACUGAAACAAAACAAACACAACAGCUGAUCUCUGAUGAACAAACUGUCCCUGAAUGCAGCCUCCUGGAGGACAGGUGAACCUGUGGUGUUCAGGUGUGGUGUUCAGGUGUACCUGUGGUGGGACUGAGCGUAGGCAGGUGUGGCAGUGAUGUAUUGAGCUCCCAGGUCAGCUGAGUGUGAUGAGGCGUUUGGAGGACGGCUGGUGAACAUCCGACCACCUGAGACAGAACAGCUGAACCCGGUUCGGCUGUGAGUUCGGGAACAUUAAAUCCUCUGGUUUCUGGAUGGACUUCUGUCUCACCUGCUCCUCUGGAUUUGUCCCAAACCACGAUAUGAACUUUGCUCUGCAGCUCCCUCCUCAGCAGACAUGCGCAGAUGCUGCCGGUCAGACCCGCUCCGACUAUCAGAACCCGAGACAUCUUCAGCUCCGAACCGGACCGGACUCACGGUACCGGCGGACACAGAAUAACAGGUUCGGGUCAAAUCCUCCA